rnacentral:misc_RNA from 1 species
GAUGAAGAACGUAGCGAAAUGCGAUAAGUAGUGUGAAUUGCAGAAUUCAGUGAAUCAUCGAAUCUUUGAACGCACAUUGCGCCCUUUGGUAUUCCAAAGGGCAUGCCUGUUCGAGCGUCAUUUGUACCCUCAAGCUUUGCUUGGUGUUGGGCGUCUUGUCUCUAGCUUUGCUGGAGACUCGCCUUAAAGUAAUUGGCAGCCGGCCUACUGGUUUCGGAGCGCAGCACAAGUCGCACUCUCUAUCAGCAAAGGUCUAGCAUCCAUUAAGCCUUUUUUUUCAGCUUUUGACCUCGGAUCAGGUAGGGAUACCCGCUGAACUUAAGCAUAUCAAUAAGCGGAGGA